rnacentral:rRNA from 1 species
CCUCGGGAGGCUGCAGUGGGGAAUAUUGGACAAUGGGCGAAAGCCUGAUCCAGCCAUGCCGCGUGUGUGAAGAAGGCCUUCGGGUUGUAAAGCACUUUCAGUGGGGAAGAAAGCCUUGGGGCUAAUACCCUCGAGGAAGGACAUCACCCACAGAAGAAGCACCGGCUAACUCCGGGCCAGCAGCCGCGGUAAUACGGAGGGUGCGAGCGUUAAUCGGAAUUACUGGGCGUAAAGCGCGCGUAGGCGGUCUGAUAAGCCGGUUGUGAAAGCCCCGGGCUCAACCUGGGAACGGCAUCCGGAACUGUCAGGCUAGAGUGCAGGAGAGGAAGGUAGAAUUCCCGGUGUAGCGGUGAAAUGCGUAGAGAUCGGGAGGAAUAACAGUGGCGAAGGCGGCCUUCUGGACUGACACUGACGCUGAGGUGCGAAAGCGUGGGUAGCAAACAGGAUUAGAUACCCUGGUAGUC